UGCCUAAUACAUGCAAGUCGAGCGAGUCUGCCUUGAAGAUCGGAGUGCUUGCACUCUGUGAAACAAGAUACAGGCUAGCGGCGGACGGGUGAGUAACACGUGGGUAACCUGCCCAAGAGAUCGGGAUAACACCUGGAAACAGAUGCUAAUACCGGAUAACAACAGAUGAUGCCUAUCAACUGUUUAAAAGAUGGUUCUGCUAUCACUCUUGGAUGGACCUGCGGUGCAUUAGCUAGUUGGUAGGGUAACGGCCUACCAAGGCGAUGAUGCAUAGCCGAGUUGAGAGACUGAUCGGCCACAUUGGGACUGAGACACGGCCCAAACUCCUACGGGAGGCAGCAGUAGGGAAUCUUCCACAAUGGACGCAAGUCUGAUGGAGCAACGCCGCGUGAGUGAAGAAGGGUUUCGGCUCGUAAAGCUCUGUUGUUGGUGAAGAAGGACAGGGGUAGUAACUGACCUUUGUUUGACGGUCAUCAAUUAGAAAGU
rnacentral:rRNA from 1 species